rnacentral:siRNA from 1 species
UUCAGGGGCUUCCAUCUCUGU